GAUGAAGAACGCAGCGAAAUGCGAUAAGUAAUGUGAAUUGCAGAAUUCAGUGAAUCAUCGAAUCUUUGAACGCACAUUGCGCCCGCUGGUAUUCCGGCGGGCAUGCCUGUCCGAGCGUCGUUUGCAACCCAUCGAGUAACACUUCUCGGUCUUGGGCGCCGUCCGCCCCCUCGGGGGAUCGGACGGGCCCCAAAGCCCUCGGCGGCCCCGCGUGCCCCGCCGGAGCGUCUUCGAAAGCAAUCGCUCCGGCGCGUCGCGCCCCGGGACCAAGCCGGCACCGCGGCCCCCCCAAAGGGGUCGCACCCCCAACACCAAACGUCUGACCUCGGAUCAGGUAGGGCUACCCGCUGAACUUAAGCAUAUCAAUAAGCGGAGGA
rnacentral:misc_RNA from 1 species